AAUAGAUACCCAGGUAGUCCACGCCGUAAACGAUGAAUACUAGGUGUAGGAGGUAUCGACCCCUUCUGUGCCGCAGUUAACACAAUAAGUAUUCCGCCUGGGGAGUACGAUCGCAAGAUUAAAACUCAAAGGAAUUGACGGGGGCCCGCACAAGCAGCGGAGCAUGUGGUUUAAUUCGAAGCAACGCGAAGAACCUUACCUAGACUUGACAUCUCCUGAAUUACCCUUAACCGGGGAAGCCCUUCGGGGCAGGAAGACAGGUGGUGCAUGGUUGUCGUCAGCUCGUGUCGUGAGAUGUUGGGUUAAGUCCCGCAACGAGCGCAACCCUUAUCAUUAGUUGCUACCAUUAAGUUGAGCACUCUAGUGAGACUGCCACGGUUAACGUGGAGGAAGGUGGGGAUGACGUCAAAUCAUCAUGCCCCUUAUGUCUAGGGCUACACACGUGCUACAAUGGUGAGUACAAAGAGAUGCAAUACCGUGAGGUGGAGCCAAACUCAAAAACUCAUCCCAGUUCGGAUUGUAGGCUGAAACUCGCCUACA
rnacentral:rRNA from 1 species